UACAGAGGUCUCAAGCGUUGUUCGGAUUCAUUGGGCGUAAAGGGUGCGUAGGUGGCGAGGUAAGUUGGAUGUGAAAUCCCAGGGCUCAAUCCUGGAACUGCAUUCAAUACUGCCUUGCUAGAGUACUGGAGAGGAGAUUGGAAUUUACGGUGUAGCAGUGAAAUGCGUAGAUAUCGUAAGGAAGACCAGUGGCGAAGGCGGAUCUCUGGACAGUUACUGACACUGAGGCACGAAGGCCAGGGGAGCAAACGGG
rnacentral:rRNA from 1 species